CCUUGUUGCUUUCCGUAGCUCGACUAUGACGUCUCCUGAAGAUGGCGGCCCUCGGUAGCAGCGGGGUGACUCCGGGCCGCUUGGCGCGACGCCUUCUCAGACAUACUCAGGGUACACUAUGCCCGGGGAGCGGGGGUCGACCGGCAGAGUUCCUGAACCAGGCGUUCGGACAGAGAUGUCGUCUCCACUCGGCAGUGGCGUGCUCGAGUCCCACUGCCAGGGUCCUCCUUGGCAGACGUACCAACGGAAGGUUUCUAUUGGUCAAUGCUGUGGCGGUGAGGCACAACAGCACACAGUUUCCCCGUGAAACGUAUUCCAUGGACGACAUUCCCGCGAAGGAAGCUCCGUACGCGACAGCAGAGCUGGCGACCGCGCCGGUGCUGUCCGACCCCACCCCGGUCCUCACAGAGUCCCUCCCCCAACAGAUCUCGGUCUCGCCGGUAACCACGGCCAUCCCCGCGGCCCCGCCCUCUCUGGAGGCCACGCCCACUCUGGACGCCUCUCCAAUCGGAGCGCUGGCCGACCCGACCCUCCUGCUCCCCCCGCCGCUGGGCGAGCAGCUGCUGGGGGAGGCCCUGCCCACGGCGGCGGAGGUCCUCCAGCUGGCGGAGCCCACCCUGGUGGAGCUGGGCCUGGCCGGACACACCCCGGUGGGCUUCAUCCAGAGCCUGCUGGAGUUCAUGCACAUGGACCUGGGCAUGCCCUGGUGGGGCGCCAUCGUCGCAGGCACGGUGCUGGCCCGUCUGGCCGUGUUCCCGGUCAUCGUGAAGGGGCAGCGGGAGGCGGCCAAGCUGAACAACGUGAUGCCGGAGAUGACCAAGCUGACCAGCCGCAUGACGGAGGCCAAGCAGGGCGGCAACAAGUUUGAGUUCUCCAAGGCCUACACGGACCUGACUCUGUUCCAGAAGAAGCACGACGUGAACCCUCUGAGGGGCUUCCUGGUGCCGCUGGUCCAGGCCCCCGUCUUCAUCUCCUUCUUCAUCGCGCUGAGGAAGAUGGCCUACCUGCCGGUGCCCAGCCUGCAGACGGGAGGCGCCCUGUGGUUCCCCGACCUCACCAUGGCCGACCCCUUCUACCUGCUGCCCAUCGCCGUCACCGGCACCAUGUUCUUCAUCCUGGAGCUGGGUGCCGAGUCGGGCAUCGAUAACCCCAACAUGAAGGCCAUGAAGACGGUGUUCCGGAUCAUGCCCUUCGUCAUCCUGCCCCUCACCAUCAACUUCCCCACGGCGGUCUUCACCUACUGGCUGACCUCCAACAGCUUCUCGCUGUGCCAGGUGGCCCUGCUCCGCCACCCCUGGGUGCGGGAGAAGCUCUCCAUCCCCCAGAAGAUCGUCCACCCCGCCUCCGCCCUGCCCGCCAACGACGGCUUCGUGGAGAGCCUGAAGAAGGGUGAGGCUGGAAGAACGCCCAGCUAGGGCAGCAGCUGGAGGAGAGAGAGAGGAGGAUCAAGAAUCACCUGGAGCUGGCCGCCAAAGGUCCAUUGAGGCAGACUUUUACCCAUAAUCCUCUCCAGCAGGAAGCAGCGCCAGCCAAUAACAAGCCUGUGUCCCAGACAGGCAGGGACAAGGCCCGCCCAUGGAAGGAGACCAUUGGCUAGAUGGGAAUGAUUGGCGGCUGGAGCCCAGCGAAUCGUGUGUAAAUAUGGACGCAAUAAUGGGAGCGGAGUGAAGAGUUGUCUGUGUGUUAUUAUCCAGAGUAAAGUCGUACAAUAUUUA